rnacentral:misc_RNA from 1 species
GUGAAUCAUCAAAUUUUUGAACGCAAAUUGCACUCUCUUCGGAGAGUAUGCCUGUUUGAGGGUCAGCCUAAAAAAAAUCGACAUCGUUGCUGUUUCGCGGUGGCGUUCGUCGGAAAUUGGGUCAUCUUAAAUCUUUUGGUUUUAAGCGACUUAAAAUACUCUACGAUUCCAUGAACGUUUCUAAGAUUAUUUCUUUACACGUUUAAGGUAUCGAUUUUUAUUAGGCGUGGCCGUCAUAUCGAUCAUGUCCAUAAUCGUUAACUGACCUCAGACAGGUAAGAGUACCCGCUGAACUUAAGCA